UACGGGGGGGGCAAGCGUUGUUCGGAAUUACUGGGCGUAAAGGGCUCGUAGGCGGCCAACUAAGUCAGACGUGAAAUCCCUCGGCUUAACCGGGGAACUGCGUCUGAUACUGGAUGGCUUGAGGUUGGGAGAGGGAUGCGGAAUUCCAGGUGUAGCGGUGAAAUGCGCAGAUAUCAGGAGGAACACCAAUGGCGAAGGCGAGUCUCUGGACAUUUCCUGACGCUGAGGCACGAAAGCCAGGGGAGCAAACGGG
rnacentral:rRNA from 1 species